GUGCUCCCUUGGGUAAUACAUAUACUAAAAUUAGAAUGAUACAGAGAUUAGCAUGGCCCAUGCACAAGGAUGACAUACAAAUUCAUGAAAUGUUUCAUAUUUUU
ensembl:snRNA U6 U6 spliceosomal RNA